rnacentral:rRNA from 1 species
ACCACUUUGUGAAUCGUGACUGGGGUGAAGUCGAAAGAAGGUAAGCGUAGGGAGAACUGGGGUUGGAUCACCUCCUUACCUUAAAGAA